CUAAUUUAUAUGCUUUACUUGGUGUCACUCUUGAUGCAACGGCCUCUGAGAUUCGGGCAGCCUACAGAAAACUGGCGCUGGUGACACACCCAGACAAAC
rnacentral:ribozyme from 1 species